GACGAACGCUGGCGGCGUGCUUAACACAUGCAAGUCGAACGGAAAGGCCUCUUUCGGGGGGUACUCGAGUGGCGAACGGGUGAGUAACACGUGAGUAACCUGCCCUUGACUUUGGGAUAACUUCAGGAAACUGGGGCUAAUACCGGAUAGGAGCUCCUGCUGCAUGGUGGGGGUUGGAAAGUUUCGGCGGUUGGGGAUGGACUCGCGGCUUAUCAGCUUGUUGGUGGGGUAGUGGCUUACCAAGGCUUUGACGGGUAGCCGGCCUGAGAGGGUGAACGGCCACAUUGGGACUGAGAUACGGCCCAGACUCCUACGGGAGGCAGCAGUGGGGAAUAUUGCACAAUGGGUGGAAGCCUGAUGCAGCAACGCCGUGGGCGGGAUGACGGGCUUCGGGUUGUAAACCGCUUUCGCUCAUGACGAAGCUUUGUGUGACGGUAGUGGGUAAAGAAGCACCGGCUAACUACGUG
rnacentral:rRNA from 1 species